GCAUUAUAUAAGGCGUCGACAUCUCCCGAGUAACACAACACGUCCACACUUCCACCAACAGGUAUCAUGAAACUGUGGGUGGUCCUCGUGAGCGUCGCCCUACUGGGGGGGACCUGCAGGGCAAGUUAUGGAUGCCUCUUAUGUACUGGAGACGGAGGUGACUCAGGGGCGGCUGCCGGAGGCUCAACUGGGCACCAUCCAAUAGACCACUACUAUGGUUAUGGUAGGGGACCUUAUUAUAAUGGAGGAUCUCACUACGGUAAGGGACCUUAUUAUAAUGGAGGAUCUCACUACGAUAAUGGACCUUAUCAUAAUGGAGGAUCUCACUACGGUAGCGGACCUUAUUAUAAUGGUCCAUAUAUCGUUCGGGCACUUGGUGGCCUCAUUCGUGUUGAUACUGACGAUGAUGGUGGCCACUACGGCCACACCCAUGGUGGCUACCACGGCCACACUCAUGGUGGUUACCACGGCCACACUCAUGGUGGUUACCACGGCCACAAUCAUGGUGGCUACCAUGGCCACACCCAAGGUGGCUACCACGGCCACAAUCAUGGUGGCUACCAUGGCCAUUCUCAUGGUGGCUAUUAUCCCUAUCAUUAAUUUUCUGAGGGAUGCAUAUUAAAAGCUUAAAUCCGAAA